GACGUAGGGCGCGAGCGUUGUCCGGAUUUAUUGGGCGUAAAGAGCUCGUAGGCGGUUUGUCACGUCUGCUGUGAAAUCCCGAGGCUCAACCUCGGGCCUGCAGUGGGUACGGGCAGACUGGAGUGCGGUAGGGGAGAUUGGAAUUCCUGGUGUAGCGGUGGAAUGCGCAGAUAUCAGGAGGAACACCGAUGGCGAAGGCAGAUCUCUGGGCCGUAACUGACGCUGAGGAGCGAAAGCGUGGGGAGCGAACAGG
rnacentral:rRNA from 1 species